GAUGAACGCUGGCGGCGUGCUUAACACAUGCAAGUCGAACGAAGAUGCCGGAGUGCUUGCACUUUGGCAGACUGAGUGGCGGACGGGUGAGUAACGCGUGGGUAACCUGCCUUAUACAGGGGGAUAACAGUUGGAAACGACUGCUAAUACCGCAUAAGCGCACGGUAUCGCAUGAUACAGUGUGAAAAACUCCGGUGGUAUAAGAUGGACCCGCGUCUGAUUAGCCAGUUGGCGGGGUAACGGCCCACCAAAGCGACGAUCAGUAGCCGGCCUGAGAGGGUGAACGGCCACAUUGGGACUGAGACACGGCCCAAACUCCUACGGGAGGCAGCAGUGGGGAAUAUUGCACAAUGGGGGAAACCCUGAUGCAGCGACGCCGCGUGAGUGAAGAAGUAUUUCGGUAUGUAAAGCUCUAUCAGCAGGGAAGAAAGUGACGGUACCUGAAUAAGAAGCCCCGGCUAACUACGUG
rnacentral:rRNA from 1 species